UUUCCCCCACUAACGUCAAUACAUCCAAAGCGAAGCCACAAAAUAAGGCUCAAUCAGAUACCCCAAAUAAGGCUCCUAUUCUCUUUCAUUUUGAACACAGAGGAUAAAACUCCCCAACCCAGAUGCUCUCCCCAAAUCCCUAAAUCCAACGUCAGUGAUUUUUGCUAUAGUUUAUAAAAUUACCAAGAACGUCGUUACACGAAUUCAACGUCUCAACCCCGAUUUGAGACUUGAUCCUCACAUACUAAUCUUCUGUGCUCGUGCACCUGGAGAAGCUUCCUCUCCACACCAAGCUGAUAUUCAACCAAUCAAUUUUCCAUCUGAUGGUAGUAACAAUCAAGGUCGAGAGUCCUCCAAAUAGGCUAUCAGCUCAGCGGAAGGUUUUGCUGCGCU